GCCGACGUAGCUCAGCGGUAGAGCAACCGCCUUGUAAGCGGUAGGUCGCCGGUUCAAUCCCGGCCGUCGGCU
rnacentral:tRNA from 4 species